rnacentral:lncRNA from 1 species
CAGAAACUGUAAUAUAUUAAUCUGUUUUAUAGCAUUUACAGAACUGUACGGCUUCAGUCGAAAACCUAAGACAACCAUGGGAAUUCAGACAUACCGUUGUCAGCUUCCAUUUUUACAAACCGUUUGAAUGAUAAUUACAACUCAAAUUGUAAAGUUAAAAGCAUGCACAUUAUACAUAUUCCAUACACUUGUUAUGUACAUUCAAC